AUUGAACGCUGGCGGCAGGCCUAACACAUGCAAGUCGAGCGGUAGCACAGAGAGCUUGCUCUCGGGUGACGAGCGGCGGACGGGUGAGUAAUGUCUGGGAAACUGCCUGAUGGAGGGGGAUAACUACUGGAAACGGUAGCUAAUACCGCAUAACGUCGCAAGACCAAAGUGGGGGACCUUCGGGCCUCAUGCCAUCAGAUGUGCCCAGAUGGGAUUAGCUAGUAGGUGGGGUAACGGCUCACCUAGGCGACGAUCCCUAGCUGGUCUGAGAGGAUGACCAGCCACACUGGAACUGAGACACGGUCCAGACUCCUACGGGAGGCAGCAGUGGGGAAUAUUGCACAAUGGGCGCAAGCCUGAUGCAGCCAUGCCGCGUGUGUGAAGAAGGCCUUCGGGUUGUAAAGCACUUUCAGCGGGGAGGAAGGCGAUAAGGUUAAUAACCUCAUCGAUUGACGUUACCCGCAGAAGAAGCACCGGCUAACUCCGUGCCAGCAGCCGCGGUAAUACGGAGGGUGCAAGCGUUAAUCGGAAUUACUGGGCGUAAAGCGCACGCAGGCGGUCUGUCAAGUCGGAUGUGAAAUCCCCGGGCUCAACCUGGGAACUGCAUUCGAAACUGGCAGGCUAGAGUCUUGUAGAGGGGGGUAGAAUUCCAGGUGUAGCGGUGAAAUGCGUAGAGAUCUGGAGGAAUACCGGUGGCGAAGGCGGCCCCCUGGACAAAGACUGACGCUCAGGUGCGAAAGCGUGGGGAGCAAACAGGAUUAGAUACCCUGGUAGUCCACGCCGUAAACGAUGUCGAUUUGGAGGUUGUGCCCUUGAGGCGUGGCUUCCGGAGCUAACGCGUUAAAUCGACCGCCUGGGGAGUACGGCCGCAAGGUUAAAACUCAAAUGAAUUGACGGGGGCCCGCACAAGCGGUGGAGCAUGUGGUUUAAUUCGAUGCAACGCGAAGAACCUUACCUGGUCUUGACAUCCACAGAACUUUCCAGAGAUGGAUUGGUGCCUUCGGGAACUGUGAGACAGGUGCUGCAUGGCUGUCGUCAGCUCGUGUUGUGAAAUGUUGGGUUAAGUCCCGCAACGAGCGCAACCCUUAUCCUUUGUUGCCAGCGGUUCGGCCGGGAACUCAAAGGAGACUGCCAGUGAUAAACUGGAGGAAGGUGGGGAUGACGUCAAGUCAUCAUGGCCCUUACGACCAGGGCUACACACGUGCUACAAUGGCAUAUACAAAGAGAAGCGACCUCGCGAGAGCAAGCGGACCUCAUAAAGUAUGUCGUAGUCCGGAUUGGAGUCUGCAACUCGACUCCAUGAAGUCGGAAUCGCUAGUAAUCGUAGAUCAGAAUGCUACGGUGAAUACGUUCCCGGGCCUUGUACACACCGCCCGUCACACCAUGGGAGUGGGUUGCAAAAGAAGUAGGUGGCUUAACCUUCGGGAGGGCGCUUACCACUUUGUGAUUCAUGACUGGGGUGA
rnacentral:rRNA from 1 species